rnacentral:rRNA from 1 species
GGGUUGUGAGGUUAAGCGACUAAGCGUACACGGUGGAUGCCCUGGCAGUCAGAGGCGAUGAAGGACGUGCUAAUCUGCGAAAAGCGUCGGUAAGGUGAUAUGAACCGUUAUAACCGGCGAUGUCCGAAUGGGGAAACCCAGUGCAAUUCGUUGCACUAUCGUUAACUGAAUACAUAGGUUAACGAGGCGAACCGGGGGAACUGAAACAUCUAAGUACCCCGAGGAAAAGAAAUCAACCGAGAUUCCCCCAGUAGCGGCGAGCGAACGGGGAGCAGCCCAGAGUCUGAAUCAGCUUGUGUGUUAGUGGAACGGUCUGGAAAGUCCGACGGUACAGGGUGAUAGUCCCGUACACCAAAAUGCACAGGUUGUGAACUCGAAGAGUAGGGCGGGACACGUGGUAUCCUGUCUGAAUAUGGGGGGACCAUCCUCCAAGGCUAAAUACUCCUGACUGACCGAUAGUGAACCAGUACCGUGAGGGAAAGGCGAAAAGAACCCCGGCGAGGGGAGUGAAAAAGAACCUGAAACCGUGUACGUACAAGCAGUGGGAGCACCUUCGGGUGUGACUGCGUACCUUUUGUAUAAUGGGUCAGCGACUUAUAUUCUGUAGCAAGGUUAACCGUAUAGGGGAGCCGCAGGGAAACCGAGUCUUAACUGGGCGUUAAGUUGCAGGGUAUAGACCCGAAACCCGGUGAUCUAGCCAUGGGCAGGUUGAAGGUUGGGUAACACUAACUGGAGGACCGAACCGACUAAUGUUGAAAAAUUAGCGGAUGACUUGUGGCUGGGGGUGAAAGGCCAAUCAAACCGGGAGAUAGCUGGUUCUCCCCGAAAGCUAUUUAGGUAGCGCCUCGUGAACUCAUCUUCGGGGGUAGAGCACUGUUUCGGCUAGGGGGUCAUCCCGACUUACCAACCCGAUGCAAACUACGAAUACCGAAGAAUGUUAUCACGGGAGACACACGGCGGGUGCUAACGUCCGUCGUGAAGAGGGAAACAACCCAGACCGCCAGCUAAGGUCCCAAAGUCAUGGUUAAGUGGGAAACGAUGUGGGAAGGCACAGACAGCCAGGAUGUUGGCUUAGAAGCAGCCAUCAUUUAAAGAAAGCGUAAUAGCUCACUGGUCGAGUCGGCCUGCGCGGAAGAUGUAACGGGGCUAAACCAUGCACCGAAGCUGCGGCAGCGACACUAUGUGUUGUUGGGUAGGGGAGCGUUCUGUAAGCCUGCGAAGGUGACCUGUGAGGGUUGCUGGAGGUAUCAGAAGUGCGAAUGCUGACAUAAGUAACGAUAAAGCGGGUGAAAAGCCCGCUCGCCGGAAGACCAAGGGUUCCUGUCCAACGUUAAUCGGGGCAGGGUGAGUCGACCCCUAAGGCGAGGCCGAAAGGCGUAGUCGAUGGGAAACAGGUUAAUAUUCCUGUACUUGGUGUUACUGCGAAGGGGGGACGGAGAAGGCUAUGUUAGCCGGGCGACGGUUGUCCCGGUUUAAGCAUGUAGGCUGGUUAUCCAGGCAAAUCCGGAUAAUCAAGGCUGAGGUGUGAUGACGAGGCACUACGGUGCUGAAGUAACAAAUGCCCUGCUUCCAGGAAAAGCCUCUAAGCAUCAGGUAACAUUAAAUCGUACCCCAAACCGACACAGGUGGUCAGGUAGAGAAUACCAAGGCGCUUGAGAGAACUCGGGUGAAGGAACUAGGCAAAAUGGUGCCGUAACUUCGGGAGAAGGCACGCUGGUGUGUAGGUGAAGUCCCUGCGGAUGGAGCUGAGACCAGUCGAAGAUACCAGCUGGCUGCAACUGUUUAUUAAAAACACAGCACUGUGCAAACACGAAAGUGGACGUAUACGGUGUGACGCCUGCCCGGUGCCGGAAGGUUAAUUGAUGGGGUUAUCCGUAAGGAGAAGCUCUUGAUCGAAGCCCCGGUAAACGGCGGCCGUAACUAUAACGGUCCUAAGGUAGCGAAAUUCCUUGUCGGGUAAGUUCCGACCUGCACGAAUGGCGUAAUGAUGGCCAGGCUGUCUCCACCCGAGACUCAGUGAAAUUGAACUCGCUGUGAAGAUGCAGUGUACCCGCGGCAAGACGGAAAGACCCCGUGAACCUUUACUAUAGCUUGACACUGAACAUUGAGCCUUGAUGUGUAGGAUAGGUGGGAGGCUUUGAAGCGUGGACGCCAGUCUGCGUGGAGCCAACCUUGAAAUACCACCCUUUAAUGUUUGAUGUUCUAACGUUGGCCCCUGACCGGGGUUGCGGACAGUGUCUGGUGGGUAGUUUGACUGGGGCGGUCUCCUCCCAAAGCGUAACGGAGGAGCACGAAGGUUAGCUAAUCCUGGUCGGACAUCAGGAGGUUAGUGCAAUGGCAUAAGCUAGCUUGACUGCGAGCGUGACGGCGCGAGCAGGUGCGAAAGCAGGUCAUAGUGAUCCGGUGGUUCUGAAUGGAAGGGCCAUCGCUCAACGGAUAAAAGGUACUCCGGGGAUAACAGGCUGAUACCGCCCAAGAGUUCAUAUCGACGGCGGUGUUUGGCACCUCGAUGUCGGCUCAUCACAUCCUGGGGCUGAAGUAGGUCCCAAGGGUAUGGCUGUUCGCCAUUUAAAGUGGUACGCGAGCUGGGUUUAGAACGUCGUGAGACAGUUCGGUCCCUAUCUGCCGUGGGCGCUGGAGAAUUGAGGGGGGCUGCUCCUAGUACGAGAGGACCGGAGUGGACGCAUCACUGGUGUUCGGGUUGUCAUGCCAAUGGCACUGCCCGGUAGCUAAAUGCGGAAGAGAUAAGUGCUGAAAGCAUCUAAGCACGAAACUUGCCCCGAGAUGAGUUCUCCCUGAGACUUUAAGUCUCCUGAAGGAACGUUAAAGACGAUGACGUUGAUAGGCCGGGUGUGUAAGCGCAGCGAUGCGUUGAGCUAACCGGUACUAAUGAACCGUGAGGCUUAACCUUACAACGCCGAAG